UCUACCGUGGGCGCAGGAAACUUGAGAGGACUCGUUCUUAGUACGAGAGGACCGGAAUGAACAUACCUCUGGUGUUUCGGUUGUUCCGCCAGGAGCAUUGCCGAGUAGCCAAGUAUGGAUGAGAUAAACGCUGAAAGCAUAUAAGUGUGAAACUCACCUCAAGAUAAGGUUUCCCUUAAGGGCACUUGAAGACUACAAGUUUGAUAGGCUGGAAGUGGAAGUACAGUAAUGUAUGUAGCUAACCAGUACUAAUUGCCCGUUUGGCUUGGUCGC
rnacentral:rRNA from 1 species